CCAAAUGAUAGGAAUGCUUAGUGGCGGACUGGUGAGUAACGCGUGAGGAACCUACCUUCCAGAGGGGGACAACAGUUGGAAACGACUGCUAAUACCGCAUGACGCAUGACCGGGGCAUCCCGGGCAUGUCAAAGAUUUUAUCGCUGGAAGAUGGCCUCGCGUCUGAUUAGCUAGAUGGUGGGGUAACGGCCCACCAUGGCGACGAUCAGUAGCCGGACUGAGAGGUUGACCGGCCACAUUGGGACUGAGAUACGGCCCAGACUCC
rnacentral:rRNA from 1 species